rnacentral:rRNA from 1 species
AGGACGAACGCUGGCGGCGUGCCUAAUACAUGCAAGUCGAGCGCGGGAAGCAAACUGAAGCCUCGGGCGGACGUUGUGGAACGAGCGGCGGAUGGGUGAGUAACACGUGGGCAACCUGCCUGUAAGAUUGGGAUAACUUGCGGAAACGUGAGCUAAUACCAAAUAAAGCUUCAUAUCACCUGAUGUGAAGAUGAAAGAUGGCUCCGGCUAUCACUUACAGAUGGGCCCGUGGCGCAUUAGCUAGUUGGUGGGAUAAAAGCUUACCAAGGCAACGAUGCGUAGCCGACCUGAGAGGGUGAUCGGCCACACUGGGACUGAGACACGGCCCAGACUCCUACGGGAGGCAGCAGUAGGGAAUCUUCCGCAAUGGACGCAAGUCUGACGGAGACCAACGCCGCGUGAGUGAUGAAGGUUUUCGGAUCGUAAAACUCUGUUGUUAGGGAAGAACAAGUACCGUUCGAAUAGGUCGGUACCUUGACGGUACCUAACCAGAAAGCCCCGGCUAACUACGUGCCAGCCGCAGC